rnacentral:rRNA from 1 species
AAGUCGUAACAAGGUUUCCGUAGGUGAACCUGCGGAAGGAUCAUUACACGAUCUCCGGCAGGCGGCCCCGAGAGGGGUUGCCUGACGGUAUCAAAACACCCCCCUGUGUACCUCUCCAUGUUGCUUCCCCAGGUCGGCAGCCUUUGCCUGCCCGGCGAACCUGUCCCAAGUGGGACCCGUCGCCGGAGGUGCCUGGGGGAGGACCAACCCCAAUCUCGGUUUAUCCAGCAGAAGAGAAGUCUGACUUGGCCACGCGCCAUCAGUAUUAACGUACUUAAAACUUUCAACAACGGAUCUCUUGGUUCUCGCAUCGAUGAAGAACGCAGCGAAAUGCGAUAAGUAAUGUGAAUUGCAGAAUUCAGUGAAUCAUCGAAUCUUUGAACGCACAUUGCGCCCUUUGGCAUUCCUUAGGGCAUGCCUGUUCGAGCGUCACUAAAAACCCCAUCACUUCCAGUGUGGUGUUGGCGGCAGUGGUGCCAGCACGGAGGAUCUUCUCCCCGUCGGCCCACUCCACCGAAAUGAAUCAGGCGGACAAACUGAUCUCAGCAACUGACUUAGUAAAAUCAAUCAGUCGGGAGUGAGGUUAUGUCCCGCCAAGAUUUGGACCCCCCAUCCAAUGAUACACGAAUCCUGGGUUGACCUCGGAUCAGGUAGGGAUACCCGCUGAACUUAAGCAUAUCAAUAAGCGGAGGA